AGCGUAUGUUAGGCGGGACUUGUUAGUCGUGGGUCAAAUUUCAGAGCUCAACCCUGAAGCUGCUCACGAAACUGCAUGUCUAGAGAAAGUGAGAGAUGACUGGAACUCAUGGGUUAGUAGGUAAAAGCGUUGAUAUCUGGAGGAACACCAAGGGGAAAGGCGGUCAUUGGGACUUUUCUGACGCUGAAAUACCAAAGCGUGGGUAGGGAAUGGGAUUAGAUACCCCUGUAGUCCCCGCCGUAAACGAUGCAUAUUCAGCAUGUGGAGUAUCGACCCCCUGCGUGUUUUAGCUAACGCGUUAAAUAUGCCGCCUGGGAAAGUACGGCGCAAGCUUAAAACUCAAAGGAAUUGCGGGGAUCCGCACAAGUGGUGGAGCAUGUGGUUAAUUCGACAAUAACCCAGAAAACUCUCCCUGACUUUGACCUUACCUGCAUGCCUUAGAAAUAAGGCCGCCUUCGAGGGUGCUAACCAGGUGCUGCAUGGUGGUUGGCUGCUCGCGCCUCAAGGUGUUCCCUUAAGUGUGGAAACCAGCGACACCCUUGUCCCGUGUCAUAUGUGGCCCACAUGACUGCCGAGACUUUAGACUGACUGUCGAUUGAUUCCCAGAUGAAGGUCUGGAAGAAAGGAGAGGAUGACGUCCUAUCUGCAUGGCCCUUGACGCCCUGUACAACGCACGGGCUACAGUGGAUACAAUAAAGAGGUGCCAACCCAUCCGUAGGACCUGAUUCCGUCCAGAUAGUCUCAUGCCGGAUUGCAGCC
rnacentral:rRNA from 1 species